GUUUCUGGGACCUGGAACGUGAGAGAUGAAAAGUAGUAUCUCAGCACCAUGCAUCACAGCCAGGCCAGGCAGAACUAAACCAAGUGCUACCUGUGACUCAACCAGGAGCCCGUCAGAUGUCAAGGGACCAUUAUGGUCAUGUAGAGAGGACCGUGGUCUGUGCUGCUGCCCAAACGCCCUGUUGGUGUCCGUGGUCUGUUCUGCCUCCGAAAAUGAUGUGAAGUUCACGAUCCAUGCUGCCUGUGGCUGUUACCGGCAAGGAAGCUUCUUUUGCAGUGGUGUAGUUGACAACGAGAGACAUUGGAGUCUUCUGUGACAAUCUUGCUUCUCUCAAGCCCACCUCAAAAUGGAGCAGCUGAACCGGAAAGGAGGACGUGCAGAGGGGAACCAGUGUGGACUGUGGGUGUGGCACUCUCACUCAGAGCUGCUGGCUGUCACUCCCGUACGGAUGCUGCAGGGUGCCACGGAGCAAGAGAGAGGCCGCCCCCAUGGACCUGGCGCUUCCUCAUGGCUGCUCUCCCUCACAGCCACCUACCUCAUCUGAGACUGUGAGCCUGGUCCUUACCCCAGAAAGCCUUGCUCAGGGCUUUCUAAUGGAGCCUUCACAGGAGGAGGGGCCAGCAGGGCGAGAGGUGUCCUCGGGAGUCAAAGUCCCCGAGGACGCUGCAGUCCUUCCUUGUGGUCCCAGCUCUGAGUAAGCACGGUGCCUGAGCUUUAGUAUCGGGUUCUCCUCCCAGAACAGGGACCGCAGAGAUUCUGUCUCCAGGACCUGGCUUAGAGGAACGGGGGACAGGACCUUCCCUUCCUUGGAGGUUCCCAGUCCUGAAAUUCUGCGGCUCUGAGCAUCUGGUGUGGCCUUUGCUGACGGCCCAUCCAUACCCCCGGGGUGUCCAUAGCUUUAGCUAGUCAGGGGAUAGUACAAAACUACAGGAUAAAUACAUAAACCUUGGUGGGCUGUCCUUAUCAGUGGUGUAGGGAGGGGAGAGGAUUUAAAAAUA